AGCAAAUAGAAUAAAGAGUCUGACAAUGUCUUUUUUUUUUUUUUUUUUUUUUUAACUUUCUUGUUAUGGACCAAUCAGUAACCAUGAUCACGACCACAUUUGAGAAUCAGGGCUCUUUGCAGCUGGGGCAAUACUUCUGGAUCGGGAGCAACUUAUCAUGGAGGACCUGGUAUUAGAGGACACGUUGACAACAUAGAAUAAUACAGAUAAACUCCUACUUCUAGAAACCAAGAGGAGCAACAAAGCCAAAAUAUAUUAGAGGAAUUUGAAGAGGAAGAACUAUAAAGUCAGGAGGGGGAAAAUUGCCAGAAACAAUGGCUAACCAGUUGCCUCAGCAUCAUAUAUGGAGCAGCCCACCUUUUCAUCAGUCUGAGAUGCCACUUUUAUCAUAUAAUAAAGGCCUCAUAUAUA
rnacentral:lncRNA from 1 species